CCCCUUAAAACAGCGUUGCUGGCAGGAACUGUGUGUACUACAGUGAGUCUCGAUUCUAAAGCAAAGAUGGUGAGUGUUUUCUUCCAGUGUUGAAUUUAGUUUAUGAAGAGCAUCUAGAUGCUUGUUUCUGGUCGCUAACGAAAACGUCCUCUAGUUUCAGGUGUGGUUGGCGCACGAUACUCCUAGCUCAAGGAGAUCCCCAACAACUUCUGGAUCAAGGGUGUAACGAUGCCAUCACACUUCGUCCUCUAGGAACCUGCAUGAUCAUUGUUACCAUGAUCUGAACGGCGCUCCGUCUAGCUUCAUUUAGCAUAGUAUUUUAACCAAUAGACUCUAGAGAGUAGUGACACAACAUUUUCUCUUCAAAUACAAUCAAUUAGUGGUAUACACACAUUUAGCAUGUUAUUAGAAUCUCUAGAUAUAAUUGGUUCGAAGAAAA
rnacentral:lncRNA from 1 species